rnacentral:rRNA from 1 species
GACGAACGCUGGCGGCGUGCUUAACACAUGCAAGUCGAACGAUGAACCAGGGCUUGCCCUGGGAAUUAGUGGCGAACGGGUGAGUAACACGUGGGCAACCUGCCCCAGACACCGGGAUAACCAUCCGAAAGGAUGGCUAAUACCGGAUAUGACCACUUUGGGCAUCCAACGGUGGUGGAAAGGAUUCUGGUCUGGGAUGGGCCCGCGGCCUAUCAGCUAGUUGGUGGGGUAAUGGCCUACCAAGGCGACGACGGGUAGCCGGCCUGAGAGGGCGACCGGCCACACUGGGACUGAGACACGGCCCAGACUCCUACGGGAGGCAGCAGUGGGGAAUAUUGCGCAAUGGGCGAAAGCCUGACGCAGCGACGCCGCGUGAGGGACGAAGGUCUUCGGAUUGUAAACCUCUUUCAGCAGGGACGAAGCGAAAGUGACUGUACCUGCAGAAGAAGCACCGGCUAACUACGUGCCAGCAGCCGCGGUAAGGUGCGCGAGU